GCCUAACUUAACAUGCAAUUAAAACACUAAUUGUUCGCCAAAUAACUACGAGUAAAAACUUAAAAUUUAAAAGACUUGACGGUACUUCACACCACCCUAGAGGAGCCUGUCUAAUAACCGACACCCCACGAUUAACCCAACCCACCCUAGCCCAACAGUCUAUAUACCGCCAUCGCCAGCUCACCUUGUAAAAGAAACAUAGCGAGCCCAAAAGCACUACCGCUAACACGAUAGGUCGAGGUGUAACUAAUGGGUGGGAUCAGAUGGGCUACAUUUUCUAGUGCAGAAAAUACGAAUAGACUAUGAAAGUAGAAACCGAAGGAGGAUUUAGCAGUAUGUUGAGGACAAAAUGCUCAACCGAAAUAAACGCAAUGAAGUGCGUACACACCGCCCGUCAUCCCUGCCAAACCAUUAACAAACUCUAUAAAUCAACAUAAGCCACAAACAGGGCAAGUCGUAACAUGGUAAGCGUACUGGAAAGUGCGCUUAGAAA
rnacentral:rRNA from 1 species